CAAGUCGAUGCAUUUGCAGUGACAAUUACUCGCAAUUGAUUAACCAAUACAGUAGAAUAGAUUGGACUCAGUGGUUUGGUGAACAUGGCACAGACUCAGUGGUUUUGUGAACAUGGCACAGACUCAGUGGUUUUGUGAACAUGGCACAAUUUAAAAAAAAAGUAUGAGUCAAUUUUUAUUUUAGAAACUAAAGUAACAUCAUUGGAAAUAUUGCAAAUAAGACAAAAUCAGAAAUUUCAAGUGUGAUUGAAAUGGAACUGCAGCCAACGAGGACACACAGAAAUGAACAAUAGAUGGAAAAAGAUAAAAAAAAAAAAACAAAAAAAAAAAAAAAAAACAUGAUUUUCUAGGAACUAUAAAAUUUUCAAUGUGAUAUGUUAAUCUUG
rnacentral:lncRNA from 1 species